AGCAGAGUGAUGUGUUUGUCCUGGACACAAAUGGGACCUUGCUGGCUCCUCACUGCCUGCUCAACUCCUGUUGGACACUGUCAAGGAAUAGGAAGGAACAAGAUGUGGGGGUUCGAGGAUGUGGUGCUGUCAUUGUUCUGUUUUCGAGAAUCAAGUAAGAAAGCACUCAAUUGUGCAACACAAUGCCAACGUCUGUGGGAAUCUUUCUCCGAGGGCCAGCUCCAAUGCCACCUCCUCCACGAAGCCCUCCAGGAUAUGACCUCAAUUCCUGCGAUUUUCCUUCUUGGAGGGAACCUCUCAUCCUGUCUUGUACGGAAGCUAGUUAUCUGUGCGUCUGUGCACUGAGCAAGCUUUCAACAAAUCAUGGCUGAUUUACGCUGAGUGAUUUGUGGGGACCUGUGUCCCAAGGAGGAGACUCCUAAUCAACGCUAUAGUGGUUACUUGCAGUUGAUGCACAUUUAUCAUUUU